UUAUGGCCACAUCAUGUUGAAACAUUGGUUCCCAUAAGAUCACCAAAGUUAAGCAAUGUCAAGCCUGGUCAGUACCUAGAUGUGAGACCUCUUGAGAAUACCAGGUGCAGUAAG